CCCUAGCCCUGAUAGCAGAGGAAAUCCUUUUAUUCGCCUCAGCGAAUAAAAGAUUGUAGCGGAUAGCAGGGCACGAG
rnacentral:sRNA from 1 species